AAAUUGAAGAGUUUGAUCAUGGCUCAGAUUGAACGCUGGCGGCAGGCCUAACACAUGCAAGUCGAACGGUAACAGGAAGCAGCUUGCUGCUUCGCUGACGAGUGGCGGACGGGUGAGUAAUGUCUGGGAAACUGCCUGAUGGAGGGGGAUAACUACUGGAAACGGUGGCUAAUACCGCAUAACGUCGCAAGACCAAAGAGGGGGACCUUCGGGCCUCUUGCCAUCAGAUGUGCCCAGAUGGGAUUAGCUUGUUGGUGAGGUAACGGCUCACCAAGGCGACGAUCCCUAGCUGGUCUGAGAGGAUGACCAGCCACACUGGAACUGAGACACGGUCCAGACUCCUACGGGAGGCAGCAGUGGGGAAUAUUGCACAAUGGGCGCAAGCCUGAUGCAGCCAUGCCGCGUGUAUGAAGAAGGCCUUCGGGUUGUAAAGUACUUUCAGCGGGGAGGAAGGUGUUGUGGUUAAUAACCACAGCAAUUGACGUUACCCGCAGAAGAAGCACCGGCUAACUCCGUGCCAGCAGCCGCGGUAAUACGGAGGGUGCAAGCGUUAAUCGGAAUUACUGGGCGUAAAGCGCACGCAGGCGGUCUGUCAAGUCGGAUGUGAAAUCCCCGGGCUCAACCUGGGAACUGCAUUCGAAACUGGCAGGCUUGAGUCUUGUAGAGGGGGGUAGAAUUCCAGGUGUAGCGGUGAAAUGCGUAGAGAUCUGGAGGAAUACCGGUGGCGAAGGCGGCCCCCUGGACAAAGACUGACGCUCAGGUGCGAAAGCGUGGGGAGCAAACAGGAUUAGAUACCCUGGUAGUCCACGCCGUAAACGAUGUCUACUUGGAGGUUGUGCCCUUGAGGCGUGGCUUCCGGAGCUAACGCGUUAAGUAGACCGCCUGGGGAGUACGGCCGCAAGGUUAAAACUCAAAUGAAUUGACGGGGGCCCGCACAAGCGGUGGAGCAUGUGGUUUAAUUCGAUGCAACGCGAAGAACCUUACCUGGUCUUGACAUCCACAGAACUUUCCAGAGAUGGAUUGGUGCCUUCGGGAACUGUGAGACAGGUGCUGCAUGGCUGUCGUCAGCUCGUGUUGUGAAAUGUUGGGUUAAGUCCCGCAACGAGCGCAACCCUUAUCCUUUGUUGCCAGCGGUUAGGCCGGGAACUCAAAGGAGACUGCCAGUGAUAAACUGGAGGAAGGUGGGGAUGACGUCAAGUCAUCAUGGCCCUUACGACCAGGGCUACACACGUGCUACAAUGGCGCAUACAAAGAGAAGCGACCUCGCGAGAGCAAGCGGACCUCAUAAAGUGCGUCGUAGUCCGGAUUGGAGUCUGCAACUCGACUCCAUGAAGUCGGAAUCGCUAGUAAUCGUGGAUCAGAAUGCCACGGUGAAUACGUUCCCGGGCCUUGUACACACCGCCCGUCACACCAUGGGAGUGGGUUGCAAAAGAAGUAGGUAGCUUAACCUUCGGGAGGGCGCUUACCACUUUGUGAUUCAUGACUGGGGUGAAGUCGUAACAAGGUAACCGUAGGGGAACCUGCGGUUGGAUCACCUCCUUACCUUAAAGAAGC
rnacentral:rRNA from 7 species